GAUUAACGCUGGCGGCGUGCCUAACACAUGCAAGUCGAGCGGCAGCGAGUUUUACACUGAAUUCUGGAAGCUUCUAGUUGAAAGAGAAGAUUUAUUCAAGAAUUUUGUGUAAAAUGUCGGCGAGAGGCGGACGGCUGAGUAACGCGUGGGAACGUACCCCAAAGGGAGGGAUAACGCAUCGAAAGGUGUGCUAAUACCGCAUAUGGUCUUCGGAUUAAAGCCUUCGGGCGCUUUGGGAACGGCCUGCGUAAGAUUAGAUAGUUGGUGGGGUAAUGGCCUACCAAGUCGACGAUCUUUAACUGGUUUGAGAGGAUGAUCAGUCAGACUGGAACUGAGACACGGUCCAGACUCCUACGGGAGGCAGCAGUGAGGAAUCUUCCACAAUGGGCGAAAGCCUGAUGGAGCAACGCCGCGUGCAGGAUGAAGGCCUUCGGGUUGUAAACUGCUUUUAUAAGUGAGGAUUAUGACAGUAACUUAUGAAUAAGGAUCGGCUAACUACGUG
rnacentral:rRNA from 1 species